rnacentral:sRNA from 1 species
UUACGCAUGCCACCUUAAAACAAAGUAAGUUAGAAACACACGCACAUAAACAAUAGAGUGACAGAUGCCCGAAUGUUUUAGUAAUGUAUGCAUGGGAAUGUCUUUUUAAUUUGGUCGUCAGACAGUGUGUGUUGUUUGCAAAUGAGCAACACUGAUGAGUGUCAUAUAAAGCCAAGGCAAGCACAGGAAUGAGACAUCAAUUGUUAUUAAGUGGCAUAGAUAUACACACUUGUUUUUUUGCACUUGCUUUUUUAUUUUUGGAUGAGAAUUGCUUUUAUCAGUGGCGUACGUGUUGUCUGUCUCCGUUUGACCUGGCACCCAGAAUAUAAUGGGCGGGACGGCGGUCAUAUUCUCCUUCUAGGCGGUCGUAAAAAACUUCUUUGGUCUGUUCGCACUUGUCUUUCGUCGAGGCAUGGGGGCAAAUAAGGCUGAUGUUGAAGAAUUUGGCCUUUAUCCGAUACACAUGUAUUUUAUAUAAAUCCUCCGAUUUACGCACGUAUUAACCACAAUUUUCAAUCGAUCUGCAGUAAAUUUGGUACGGAUUGUUUUACAAGCUAUUUGAAAGUUACUAUUGCCUGAUUUGACGUCUUGAAAACCAACGACUUUUUGGAAACCUAUGCAAUUUUUGGACAUGAAUAACUUUUUAGUUGUUGCCUUGAAUAGUAAAUUUCUAUAGAAAAUGUCAUUAAAUUGAAAAAAAGUCUUGUCAAAAAAAAAUUUCAUAAGAAAUUAUGACCUAAUUGAUAAUCAUAAAAAAUAAUCAUAUAAAGUGUUUGACCUUUAGAUCACCAAUGCGAAUUCCAAAAUAAAAUAGCCUUUCAAAAGAAAUUUCAAAAAGUCCAGAAAAUUUUCACCACAAAAAGAAAACCAAUCAACAAACAUAGAAAGAAAAAUUAAUUUCCUGUCAACAUUUAGAAAAUUCAUGGAGAUUGUGAAUGCUUUUACUUGUUGCCCCCACGACAACCUUGGCAAAUUUCAAAAUUUUGCAAAGAAGCUUUUGAUUGCAAUGUGAACCCCCUCUCAUAUACUAGAUUAGCAAACAAACAAGCAAUUUGGGUUAAAUUCCAAGAAUUCGUAUAAAAUACCUUUCGAAUGCAAUUCAAAUUUGAAAUCCUUUGAUUAAGAAAAAGAAAUAGCCUCAAAAAGCGUAAAUGAAUAAGCAAACAGAUGAACGAACAUCAAAGAGAUGAAACCAAACAUUGGAAAUGAAUUAAAAACUAUACAAAAAAGAAAGCAGAUACCAUAAUGGAGGCCAUUAAAAUACCAAAAUUAAAACCGCCAUUUACGUUUGCAAUUUGAGUAACCACAAAAUGAACAAUAACAUCAGAAGACACAUACAGCAUACUUGAGCAUAAAGGAAGAUCCAACUUAAAUUGCAGAACACCAACUUUACUCAGGGUUGCUAUCACAAUUGCAGAGUACCAUGCUAGAAGAAUUCCGCAAAUGAAAAGAAGGAGAAACAAACUGAGAGAAUGUUCAAAAUUAAGCGCACAUUUUUUUCUCGGUGUAUACAACUAACCCAAAUUAUUUCAUUCCACCCCCAACACCAUCACCUGAAUGCAAUUUCGCACAAGUUGUAUAGGAAGGGCAAGCUUGGUUACCGGAUAUUAACGUAAUUAUCAACCAACUGACAGAAUCUAAUGAAGCCAAGGGAGAGAGAGAGAGGCUGCCAGAAAUGUUCCAGAGCUUUUCAGCCAUCUACAUCUCCAUGUUGAAUGUCCAAGGGGAGAAUGUAAAGUGGAUGCGGUGUACCAUAGCAAUGAUAUGAGGUGGAAUCAUUGCAAAAACAGAAACAACCAAAUGAGUGUAAUAAGAUUCUUUUUGGUUUCUUUGUUCCAUUCCAUUCUCUCGCUCGUUUUCAUUGUUCUUUAACGAUGCUCUAAUGUUUAUAAUUAAAUGAAUUACAAGGUUAUUAAAGCAUUAUGCAUCGAAUUGAUUAUAGACAUUUGCAGUUGUGGGAAUGGAAAAAAUGCAUAUACGGCUUGAUGGAUGAUAGGAUUGGAUAAAUGAUUUGGACCAUGUGGUAUUUCAUUUGGAAUUAUAAGAAAUGAAUCAUUUGGAGAAAAGUUAUUUGAUUGCCAGUUGAAACAACCUUCUGGAGGAAUUAAAACUAAUAAUCAAAACGUAUUAUAAUAAAAAUAUUGAUGAA